AGGAUAACAAAAGAAAAUUUGCUUGUUAUCUCCCCUAAGGAAAAAUCCGUAACAUUUAAAUACUCAGUGAAAUGAAACAUCUUAGUAGCUGAAGGAAAAGAAAUCAAUCGAGAUAAGGAUAGUAGCGGUGAGCGAACUCCUUGUAGUCUAAAGUAUUGUGUUAAGUAGAUCUCACUUAAUAAUACUAUAAAAGGUAACCAAGUCCUGUACCGAGAUUUGAUACUUAUCAAUACUAAAGAGUAGAAUCAAUUUGGUUUGAACUCUAGGGAAAGCCAUUUUCCAAGACUAAAUACAUAUUUACACCGAUAGUGAAAUAGUACCGCGAGGGAAAAUUGAAAAAUCUGUAUACAGAUUGAAAUAGUUCUGAAAUCGGUUAUUUAAAGCCCGUCUUAAUCGACGAUACCUUUUGUAUAAUGGAAUUACAAGUGAUUAUAUCAUGCACGGUUAGCACCUUAGUGAAAACGAGUUUUAAUAGAGCGUCAAAGUAUGAUGUAAUCGGACCCGAAACGGGAUGAUCUAGUUAUGUCCAAGCUGAAUCUAUAUUAGUAUAUAGUGGAGGGCUGAACCAUUGAUUGUUGCAAUAAUCUUGGAUGAGAUGUGACUAGGAGUGAAAGGCUUAUCGAAUUCCGCAUAGCUGGUUAUCUCCGAAAUAUAUUUAGGUAUAGCGUUUAAGAAUUAGUUUAUUGGCGGUAAAGCACUGAUAGUGUACUUGGCUUCUCCAUGAGUUGUACUUUACACUUUCAAACUCAGAAUUCCAAUAAAUGAUAUUAAGCAGUCAGAGUUAUUGCGAUAAGGUAAUAGUUCGAGAAGGAAACAACCUUGAUCUAAAGUUAAAGUCAUUAAAAUAAAUUUAGUGUGAAAGGCUUGUUGUAAAUUAAUACAGUCAAGAAGUAGGCUUAGAAACAGCCACUUUUAAAGAUAACGUAACAGUUCACUGACUUAAGGUUCACGACAACCGAAAAUUUAGGUGGCUAAAAUUUAUUCACUGAAACUUAGAAGGUAGAUAUUUUUAUCUGGUAGGAGAUUGUUUUGUAUAUUAGUAUGGAUCUUGUAAAAGAUCAAAUGAUAAUCAAAAGUAAUAAUGUAAUUAUGAGUAACUAAAAAAUCUUUUAAUAAAAAGAUUCACCGAAAGGACAAGGUUUUAUGGGUAUAUGAUGAACAUUCCAUUUCCGAUUCAGUCCCUAAGAGUGAUGUGAAAACGUAGCUCGAUGGGUAGCCCUUUUCUGACAUUUAUGCAGACAUAAAUCGAGAAAGAAGAUAGGGCAUUUAACUGUACUAAAACUGACACAAGUGUCCAGGAAGAGAAUUCUAAGGUGAUGAGAGAAAUAACUGUAAGGAACUCGGCAAAAUGUUUCCGUACGUUCGCAAUAAGGAAAUCUAAAAUAUAAUUUAGAAUCAUAGAAUCGUGAGCUGGGACUGUUUACUAAAAACACAGCUUUAAGCUAAAACAUGCGUUUUUGUAUUUGAAGUGACUCCUGCCCAAUGGUUGUAACCGAAAGUGUUUAAUAAAUGUAUAAGGUCAACUUAAUGGCGGCCCUAACUCUGAGGGUCCUAAGGUAGCGCAAUCAAUAUCCAAUUAAUUGUUGGAAAGUAUGAAAGGAGUAACCAUGGCUCAACUGUNNCNCAAGNUNAGCNNNGUGAAAUUGGAAUUAUAGUGAAGAUACUAUAUAGGUGCUGUAGGACACGAAGACCCUUGCAGCUUUACUGUUAUGAUACAUUGUUUACUUGUUAUUUUUGUGCAGCUAUAGCUAGUAGUUAUUGAUUCUAUACCGCCAGGUAUUUGAUGAAACGUAAGAUGAGAUACUAGCCUGAAAUAAACAGGUAUAACUUAUGCAUUUAUGCAGACAGUGUAUCAGAGACAGUUUUAUUGGGGCGAUAGCCUUUUAAAUUGUAACAAAGGCUUCUAAUAGAUUCCCUCAACUUUAUUAGAAAUAAAGUGCAGAGUGUAAUAGCAUAAGGGAGUUUGACUGCGAGAGAGACAUUUCGAGCAGGGUCGAAAGACGAGUAUAGUGACCCGCAUGUCAUUCAUGGUUUUGCAUGCGAUCAUAGGUUAAGUUACGCAAGGGAUAACAGUGUAAUACCCGGCUAGAGUUCCUAUCGAACUGGGUGUUUGCCACCUCGAUGUUGAAUUGGCGUAUCCUGUUGGUGCAGCCGCUAACAAGGGUAGGACUGUUCGUCCUUUAAAACGCUACAUGAUUUGAGUUUAAAGCGUCGUGAGACAGCUUGGAUUCUAUCCACAGUACCAUGUUAAACGAAUAAGGAAAGCUUCUUUGUACGCAAGGACUUGAAGCUUGGUACCCCUGGUGUAUGAGUUGUGGUGUAUCCGCAUCGCUCAGUAGCUACGUACUUCUUUUUAAAGGCUGGAAGCAGCUCAAGCCUGAAAUUAACCUUAGAUUUGUUUUUUUUAAGAGUAAGACUAACUCUAAUUAUAGGCAACAUGUGAAAGCAGAGCAAUUUGUUGAGCUUAGUUGUACUAAAAAUAUUAAGUGUAUAAUUA
rnacentral:rRNA from 1 species